rnacentral:rRNA from 1 species
UACGAAGGGGGCUAGCGUUGCUCGGAAUGACUGGGCGUAAAGGGCGCUUAGGCGGAUGGCACAGUCAGAUGUGAAAUUCCCGGGCUUAACCUGGGGGCUGCAUUUGAUACGUGUUGUCUUGAGUUCGGAAGAGGGUCGUGGAAUUCCCAGUGUAGAGGUGAAAUUCGUAGAUAUUGGGAAGAACACCGAUGGCGAAGGCAGCCCCCUGGGAUAACACUGACGCUCAUGCACGAAAGCGUGGGGAGCAAACAGG